CCCGAAACCAGGUGAUCUACCCAUGUCCAGGGUGAAGUUCAGGUAACACUGAAUGGAGGCCCGAACCCACGCACGUUGAAAAGUGCGGGGAUGAGGUGUGGGUAGCGGAGAAAUUCCAAUCGAACCUGGAGAUAGCUGGUUCUCCCCGAAAUAGCUUUAGGGCUAGCCUUAAGUGUAAGAGUCUUGGAGGUAGAGCACUGAUUGGACUAGGGGUCCUCAUCGGAUUACCGAAUUCAGUCAAACUCCGAAUGCCAAUGACUUAUCCUUAGGAGUCAGACUGCGAGUGAUAAGAUCCGUAGUCAAAAGGGAAACAGCCCAGACCGCCAGCUAAGGUCCCAAAGUGUGUAUUAAGUGGAAAAGGAUGUGGAGUUGCUUAGACAACUAGGAUGUUGGCUUAGAAGCAGCCACCAUUUAAAGAGUGCGUAAUAGCUCACUAGUCGAGUGACUCUGCGCCGAAAAUGUACCGGGGCUAAAUACACCACCGAAGCUGCGGAUUGAUACCAAUGGUAUCAGUGGUAGGGGAGCGUUCUAAGGACAGUGAAGUCAGACCGUAAGGACUGGUGGAGUGCUUAGAAGUGAGAAUGCCGGUAUGAGUAGCGAAAGACGGGUGAGAAUCCCGUCCACCGAAUGCCUAAGGUUUCCUGAGGAAGGCUCGUCCGCUCAGGGUUAGUCAGGACCUAAGCCGAGGCCGACAGGCGUAGGCGAUGGACAACAGGUUGAUAUUCCUGUACCACCUCUUUAUCGUUUGAGCAAUGGAGGGACGCAGAAGGAUAGAAGAAGCGUGCGAUUGGUUGUGCACGUCCAAGCAGUUAGGCUGAUAAGUAGGCAAAUCCGCUUAUCGUGAAGGCUGAGCUGUGAUGGGGAAGCUCCUUAUGGAGCGAAGUCUUUGAUUCCCCGCUGCCAAGAAAAGCUUCUAGCGAGAUAAAAGGUGCCUGUACCGCAAACCGACACAGGUAGGCGAGGAGAGAAUCCUAAGGUGUGCGAGAGAACUCUGGUUAAGGAACUCGGCAAAAUGACCCCGUAACUUCGGGAGAAGGGGUGCUUUCUUAACGGAAAGCCGCAGUGAAUAGGCCCAAGCGACUGUUUAGCAAAAACACAGCUCUCUGCGAAGCCGUAAGGCGAAGUAUAGGGGGUGACACCUGCCCGGUGCUGGAAGGUUAAGGAGAGGGGUUAGCGUAAGCGAAGCUCUGAACUGAAGCCCCAGUAAACGGCGGCCGUAACUAUAACGGUCCUAAGGUAGCGAAAUUCCUUGUCGGGUAAGUUCCGACCCGCACGAAAGGUGUAACGAUUUGGGCACUGUCUCAACCAGAGACUCGGUGAAAUUAUAGUACCUGUGAAGAUGCAGGUUACCCGCGACAGGACGGAAAGACCCCGUGGAGCUUUACUGUAGCCUGAUAUUGAAUUUUGGUACAGUUUGUACAGGAUAGGCGGGAGCCUUUGAAACCGGAGCGCUAGCUUCGGUGGAGGCGCUGGUGGGAUACCGCCCUGACUGUAUUGAAAUUCUAACCUACGGGUCUUAUCGACCCGGGAGACAGUGUCAGGUGGGCAGUUUGACUGGGGCGGUCGCCUCCUAAAGUGUAACGGAGGCGCCCAAAGGUUCCCUCAGAAUGGUUGGAAAUCAUUCGUAGAGUGCAAAGGCAUAAGGGAGCUUGACUGCGAGACCUACAAGUCGAGCAGGGACGAAAGUCGGGCUUAGUGAUCCGGUGGUUCCGCAUGGAAGGGCCAUCGCUCAACGGAUAAAAGCUACCCCGGGGAUAACAGGCUUAUCUCCCCCAAGAGUCCACAUCGACGGGGAGGUUUGGCACCUCGAUGUCGGCUCAUCGCAUCCUGGGGCUGUAGUCGGUCCCAAGGGUUGGGCUGUUCGCCCAUUAAAGCGGUACGCGAGCUGGGUUCAGAACGUCGUGAGACAGUUCGGUCCCUAUCCGUCGUGGGCGUAGGAAAUUUGAGAGGAGCUGUCCUUAGUACGAGAGGACCGGGAUGGACGCACCGCUGGUGUACCAGUUGUUCUGCCAAGGGCAUAGCUGGGUAGCUAUGUGCGGAAGGGAUAAGUGCUGAAAGCAUCUAAGCAUGAAGCCCCCCUCAAGAUGAGAUUUCCCAUAGCGUAAGCUAGUAAGAUCCCUGAAAGAUGAUCAGGUUGAUAGGUUCGAGGUGGAAGCAUGGUGACAUGUGGAGCUGACGAAUACUAAUAGAUCGAGGACUUAACCAU
rnacentral:rRNA from 1 species